GCCAGUGUGCAGAUGCAGCUCGUGGACACAAAAGCAGGGUAGCCCUGGUCCCAUCACCCGUCAGAAUUUCUGUAUUUUCUCUGUCCACAGUUCUAUAAUAUUUUUGUCUUGUGAUUGGAUGUCUUUUAAUUAUAAAAAAAGAAGUGUGGCGGCAACCUGUUCACCCCUGUGAUCUCCAGCAAGACUGUGCUGCUUCAAGGAAGGCAGCGUCAGUCCGACCCACCUAGCCGUCAGUGGCGUGCAUGCCUGGGACUCUGACAGAGUUCUUUGGAAGUAGCUGAAUUUUCAAUGUCUAACCCACAUAGAUCAGACCUUAGCAUGGUCUUUUUGUGACUGCUAGUGCUGUUUUAUAAUUUUCCAUUUUUAAACUUUUCAUUGCGCCUCCAGCCCCUCUGCCUUAUGAUUUACAGGUGAGCAGAGAUCUGUAGUUACCGCCAUCGAUCAUGUUUAUUCUGAAGGUGUGUGUGAGACCCACAAGCACAAUAGUCCUUUUCAUCUGUUGGGAACUUGAGCACAUGUCUGCACGCUCCAUGGUGCUGCCCAGAGGCCCCCACAGGAGGCCAGACACUGGCCUGAGGAUGCUGCUGUCCUGGAGGACGCUCUUUGCAGAUAAUCAAAGUUGGGGCUUGGUUUGAUCAGAGCAGUGACAGAAAGCCUGCAUUUCAGAGGCAGUCUCGUGGCUGUAAAUGUUCAAUGUAUUUAUUUUGUGAGUAAGGACCUGUGAUUGUGAACAGAUGGUUAUGUAUCUGAGUGUUGUGGUAAAGCACAUCCUGUUUCUCAGCGUCGUCGUCCUGUUAGCUCUUCACUCUUUGUGUACUGUCUCUCUGUUUUCUGUUUAAAUUCUGGCCUCUGUAUCAGAUUUGAUUUGACUUGCAGAGCCCUUGGCCUUCCAGUGUUCCACUUACUACGGAGGCCAUGGCAGCUUCCAACAGCAACCUGCUGCCUGGCUGAUGCACUGACAGGGAGCAGCCCUCACAGUGACUUUCUGUGGUUAGCAAGAGGCCUUUGCUCAGGUCCUGUUCUGUUCCUCUUCCCCUCUGAGUGUAGGUGGCUGGGCCCUGUGGUCCAUACACUUCUCUAACUGCCUUUGAAGCUUAGCAUUCGACCAGAAGGUGAGCGCUGAAGGCAGUUAGGUCCUCGUCUAGAGAAACUGUGAUCAUUCUACCUUCUGCCUUUGUCUGUCCCUGUCCAACACUGCUGCUGUCCUGAGAAUGCUGACUGAAGAGCCAGUAGGCCAGCGCAGGCAAAGCUUAAAGAUUUUCCUAUAUUUCCUCUGGACUUAAUUUACCAGUAGGGUGGAACACUGGAUGACCUGGUCCUUCAAUUUUGCAAUUCUUAUCAUUCAUAGGUGUCAGUCCCAAGCACCGAGAGAAUCUGUUGAGAAACAUUUAAUUCACUGUCUUUAAUUCACCAUGUGAACACUGCACUCAUGAGUUUGUCAUUCUGCUAGCCGGGGUGAGGUUCCUACUAGGGCCCAGCUGUGUGCAAACUCUUUCUGUAUGACAGACAGGGAUUUCUUGGCAUCUUCAGCACUGAUGGAUGGGACACAGCACAGGGAGCCAUUGUCCCCUCCCCCAUCACUCUGCUGCUCCAAGGCCAGUCAUUAAUAAGCCUAAGGCUCCUGGAGCCUGUGAUGGUCCUGCAGCUGCCUCAGUCGGACCUCUUCUCAGCACAGUGAGACACUGUACACAGUGCACCCGCUUGGUGCCCUGGAAGGUUCCAGUAAAGUCAAGAAAAUGUACACAGUAACUAACCUUGUACAUGAUGGUUUUUUUGGAGGCUUAAGGAUGCUGGCAAGGAUGCAGGGAGGCAAACUUCCCACCUCCCUACAUGGGAUUGUAAACCUUGGGAACUCGUUUGUUCCCUCAUAGUAACACAUCUCAUUUUUAAAUUGGAGCUAAUAGGAUUUUGUACCCAGAAUUUAUUAUAUUGUUAAUACUUUUCUGAAAAUACACGGUAACAACUAGUAAGCAAGAGACACAGCAGGUUGCACCAUGUGAAUUCUGGUAGCAACAAUGUGCUGGGCGCAACUUCUCCAGUGGGCCUGGGAGGUUUGUCCAUUAGCUUCCCUGUGGUUAAAUAGAGCUGUUGGUAUAGAGCGGCUUGCCUUGAUCUAUCUGUUCAGUGACUUCUGCUCGGCACCGCAAGAGAAGAUGGACGUAUUUUUAUAAUAUAAGCAUACUUUUUUUGUACAUUGUGUUCAUUCUUGAAUAAAGUGAGCUCACUGUUGGCUUGUAGAUAUUAAAAAGAAAGUAUUGAUUUUGAUUCAAUAAAUGUUUUCUUUUAGUCCUG